rnacentral:rRNA from 1 species
GAUGAACGCUGGCGGCGUGCCUAAUACAUGCAAGUCGAGCGAACAGACGAGGAGCUUGCUCCCUGACGUUAGCGGCGGACGGGUGAGUAACACGUGGAUAACCUACCUAUAAGACUGGGAUAACUUCGGGAAACCGGAGCUAAUACCGGAUAAUAUAUUGAACCGCAUGGUUCAAUAGUGAAAGACGGUUUUGCUGUCACUUAUAGAUGGAUCCGCGCCGCAUUAGCUAGUUGGUAAGGUAACGGCUUACCAAGGCAACGAUGCGUAGCCGACCUGAGAGGGCGAUCGGCCACACUGGAACUGAGACACGGUCCAGACUCCUACGGGAGGCAGCAGUAGGGAAUCUUCCGCAAUGGGCGAAAGCCUGACGGAGCAACGCCGCGUGAGUGAUGAAGGUCUUCGGAUCGUAAAACUCUGUUAUUAGGGAAGAACAAAUGUGUAAGUAACUAUGCACGUCUUGACGGUACCUAAUCAGAAAGCCACGGCUAACUACGUG